UUACGGCAAUAUCAAGUUGAAACACCAGUUUUCGUACGAUUAGUUAAGUUAAGCAACGUCGAGUCUGGUCAGUACUUAAAUGGGUGAUCGCUUGGGAAUACUAGGUGGUGUAAG